AGCUAUCCCAGGGAAAGUUUGUCUUGAAAACAAAUUUAAAGUGUUCAAUCCGCUUAAUAGCUU
rnacentral:tRNA from 1 species